rnacentral:rRNA from 1 species
UGCGUAGGCGGUUCGGUAAGUCUUAUGUGAAAUCUUCAGGCUCAACUUGAAGUCUGCAUGAGAAACUGCCGGGCUUGAGUGUGGGAGAGGUGAGUGGAAUUUCCGGUGUAGCGGUGAAAUGCGUAGAUAUCGGAAGGAACACCUGUGGCGAAAGCGGCUCACUGGACCAUAACUGACGCUGAUGCACGAAAGCUAGGGGAGCAAACAGGAUUAGAUACCCUGGUAGUCCUAGCCCUAAACGAUGAUCGCUUGGUGUGACGGGUACCCAAUCCCGCCGUGCCGAAGCUAACGCGUUAAGCGAUCCGCCUGGGAGUACGGUCGCAAGGCUGAA